rnacentral:rRNA from 1 species
GUGGGGCACAACCAGAGCAAACAUUGGUAGAGGCCAACUUGGUUAUAAGGGCGAAAGACUAUCCAAACCGUCUAUUAGCUGGUUCGCUCCAAAGUUUCCGUCAAGAUAGCUAGAGCUCGCGAGCGAGUUCUAUUGGGUAAAGCCAAUGAUUAGAGGCCUCAGUGGCACAAUGACCUCUACCUAUUCUCACACUUUAAAUAGGUAGGACAGCGUGGAUACUUUGUUGAGCUAUGCUACCGAAUCAAGAGCUGCAAGUAGUCUAUUUUUGUUAAGCAGAAUAGGCGAUGCGGGAUGAACCAAAAGCUGGGUUACGGUGCCAAACUUUGUGGUAACCUAGAUCCCACAAAGGGUUUUAGACGAUUAAGAUAGCAAGAUGGUGGUCAAGGAAGUCGAAAUCCACUAAGGAGCAUGUAACAACUCACCUGUCGAAUCAAAUAGCCCCAAAAAUAGAUGGCGCUUAAGCGUAUGACCUACACCUGGUCGUCGGGGCAAGUACCAGGCCCCGAUGAGUAGAAAGGAAUGGUGGUCACUGCAAAAACCUUGGGCUCGAUCCCGAGCGGAGCGGCCAUUGUUACAGAUCUUAUUGGUAGUAGCAAAUAUUCAAAUGAAAACUUUGAAGGCCGAAGAGGGGAAAGGUUCUAUGUGAAUGACACUUGCACAUGGGUUAGUCAAUCCUAAGGGUCAGGGGAAUGUUAGGAAGUCUGGAUAUAUCGGUGGGAGCCUCGGGAAGAGUUUGCCCACCUAGGAAUUGGCUCAGUCGGCAUGAUGUCCAAUGCGCUCCCGGCGGCCUUUGAAAAUCCUAAGGACCGAAUGUCAUCCACGCUCGGUGGUACUCAUAACUGCAUCAAGUCUCCAAGGUGAAAAGCCUCUGGUCGACGGAAUAAGGUAGGAAAGGUAGUCGGCAAAAUAGAUCCGUAACUUCGGGAAAUGGAUUGGCUCUGAGGGAUGGGCAUAGGGGUCCCAGUAAAGAACCCGUCGAUUGUCGGUGGACUGCUUGAGCUACUUCCAUGGUGAGAGCGGGUCAUCGGGUGGACGGUCUGGGAAUGGAUCUUUUGAGGGCCUUCUCCACGCGUCAGACAGCCAACUCAGAACUGGUAUGGACAAGGGAAAUCUAAUUGUUUAAUUAAAAUAAAGCAUUGCGAUGGUCCCAAUGGAUGUUGAUGCAAUGUUAUUUUUUCCCAGUGCCCUGAAUAUAAAAGUGAAAAAAUUCAACCAAGCGCAGGUAAACGGCGGGAGUAACUAUGACUCUGUUAAGGUAGCCAAAUGCCUCAUCAUCUAAUUAGUGAUGUGCAUGAAUGGAUUAACGAGAUUCCCACUGUCUCUUUCUACUAUCCGGCAAAACCAUAGCCAAGGGAACGGGCUUGACAGAAUUACGAGGGAAAGAAGACCCUAUUGAGCUUGACUCUAGUCUGACUUUGUAAAAUGACUUAAGAGGUGUAGUAUAAGUGGGAGCCGAAAGACGAAAGUGAAAUACCACUACUUUUAACGUUAUUUUACUUAUUCCACAAAUCAAAAGCAUGGCACUGCCCCUCUUUUUGGACCCAAGGCUCGCUCUGCGGGCCGAUCCAGGUGGAAGACAUUGUCAGGUGUAGAGUAUGGCUCGGAGGCACAUCCAUUAAAAGAUAACGCAGGUGUCCUAAGAUGAGCUCAAUGAGAACAGAAAUCUCAUGUGGAACAGAAGGGUAAAAACUCAUUUGGUUCUGAUUUCCAGUACAAAUAUGAACUGGGAAAGUGUGGCCUAACGAUCCUUUAGACCUUUAAAAUUCAAAGACAGAUAUGCCAGAAAAGUUACCACAGGGACAAAUGGUUUGUGGCAGCCAAGCGUUCAUAGCGACGUUGCUUUUGAUCCUUUGAUGUCGGCUCUUCCUAUCAUUGUUUAUGUGUUGGAUUGUUCACCAACAAAAAAAGAACGUGAGCUGGGUUUAGACCAUCGUGAGACAGGUUAGUUUUACCCUACUAAUGACAGUGUUACAAUAGUAAUUCAACUUAGUCCUAGAAGAAUCGUUGAUUCACACAAUUGGUCUUUGUGCUUGGUUGAAAAGCCAGUGGCGUGAGGCUAUCGU